UACGUAGGUGACAAGCGUUUGUCCGGGAUUUACUGGGCGUAAAGAGCGCGCAGGCGGUCGUUCAAGUCGAGUGUGAAAGCCCCCGGCUCAACUGGGGAGAGUCAUUCGAUACUGAUCGACUCGAAGGCAGGAGAGGGAAGUGGAAUUCCCGGUGUAGUGGUGAAAUGCGUAGAUAUCGGGAGGAACACCAGUGGCGAAGGCGACUUCCUGGCCUGUUCUUGACGCUGAGGCGCGAAAGCUAGGGGAGCAAACGGGG
rnacentral:rRNA from 1 species